UUUUACAUUAUUUUUCUCCCCAGUCUCACCUUCUGUGUCUCUUUGAUCUUUGUCUUUUCCAGUCUCUCUCUUGCUCAUUUUCUUCUUUUAUUUCUCUUUCUGUCAUCCCCUGUUUCCUUUUUCCCUCAAACUCAGUUUCUUCCUCUUUCUCUCUCUGGGCAUGAGCUGAGCCUUAACUGUGCCCUGGCUCCCCCGUGUCUGACAGACAGUUCUGACUCUUUUUCUCUGGGCACCAGCACACCUGCACAGUGUCUUACACUGCCUUCCCUGUCUUGGCUGCUUAGUCCAGUGGCUCCCACACACACAGCUGUGCACCAGGCUUUCCCUUGCCUUCAGGGUCAGCAGCUUAACUCUUUCUCUGGCCCUCUACGUUUGCUGUUUCCUCCCCUUUAUCUUUCUGAUUUCCUUUCUUUUCAUCGAUGUUUCCCCCUUUCUUCUUACAGAAACCUUCUGAGCUUCCCUUAGUAAUUCCUUAAUUGGUUUUUCAUUCCAUCCAUUAACCUUUUGCAGUUUCUUAGUAAUAUCAGGCCAGCUUUUAGUCAGAAAAUUAACCUUUAAAAUUAAAGGCCUUGCCCUACUGGGUCCUCUGGAUUUAAUCCUGAAUAUUUUCGCAUUUGAUCACUGAGCCUCUGCAGCAACACAGAGGGAGUCUCCUCCUUUUUUGUUGUUGAAUCUCAAAUGCUUUUGAGACAUUUUAUGUCCUAGGAGUGGACUUUUUAAUCCCUUUAAUUAUUAGUUCCCUUAGGUCCUGCAUUUGGGCCCGAUCUCUUUAUUGUUAUCCCAUCCAGGAUCUGCAUUUAGGAAUUUCUGCUCAGUUGGCAGGACUUCUUGCCUGGGAGGACGCUGUCUUUCCCAAAUGGUUAUGGCUGCCCUUAUAAUUAUUCCCCUCUCUUCCCCAGUAAACACAAUAUUCAUGAUUGACAUCAUCUCAGCCUAAGUAUAAAAAUUGGGUCCUAAAAAUUGAUCUAGCUGCUAAACCGAGGGGAUCUCUGCUAAGCUGAGGUUUGCUCUGCUAAACCGAGGGGAUCUUCCAAGAAUGGCCUCAUUUCCUUUUUAAAAUUCCUAACCUCAGUACUUGUUAGAGGUGCAUUCACAAACCCAACUCCUCCCUGUCCCAUAGGGACUUCUCUAAGAGAGUACUUAUUAGACGUCUACUGUUCAGAAGAAAUAGGGAAAUUCUCAAUGUCCUUCUUACAUUGUUCUAAUUCUUUCCUCAAGUUUGGAUAAGGAUUUAAGGGAGCACUGGGUUUAGCUCCUUCAUGAUCCCCAGAUUCCUCUUUCCUCGACCUUCCUCUUGCCCCCGAUCUCCCUGUCCUCUACCUUGUGAGAUGUUUGGGGGAGGGGCAAGCGUGUUGGGGAUCCCAGGGCUUUUCACUGGGUGAGGGCUCUUUACUGUGCUCUUCCUCUUUAAGGGGGAACAUGGGGUUAAAUCACUAAUCCAACAAAGAACAUAACCCACAUCCUCUGUGAGUAUGGGUUUUAUCAUUCACGUAGAGAAUUAAAGCUUGGCACACCCAGUCCUCAUCUGAGCCAAACUUAGGCCAAAAGACCAAAGGCUGACAAAUGGGCUUUUUGGGCCAGAUAAAACAGCAAUACUCUAUCAUCUUUUGCUUUUCCUUGUUCCUGGUUUGGGGAUUAUCCAUUCAAACCUGCAACAUUCUCCCCAAGGGACUAUCUGGGAGAAUGUCAGAGGGGGUCUUUUUAGUUCGCUCUUUCCUUUGUUCUGUAGGCCUAGAAUUCCUGUUUCCCAUUUUCACUUAGUCUCUGUGUCAGGUUUUUGCUGUGUACUCAGCCCCCCUUACUGGAGGUUUCUUGCACACUCCGGGUUCUCUGAAAAUGCCCCAAUACCAAGGCAGUACUGAUAAUCCAACUUUCCUACCUUGGAUCAUGCAGGAGGUUGGCUGGUUGCCAUGGUGCCUGCUUUUCUCCUUGUGUCACCUCCGCUGUCUCCUGAACAAGACUUGGGUUUGUCUGUGGCUUCUGCGGGGAGCCAAGAUGUCCAGAGCAGGCCACAUAAAUCAAGUGGGGUGCGUCUCCCUUCUCGGCUGGAGUCUUAACUCCAUACAGGCACAGAGAUAGCCGUAUGGGCCACCAGGUUGUGAGAAACAAUUCACCCGUCCAAACCCACAGAAUGGACUCAGAGACCCGGACAGUAGCAAAAGCGAGACUUUUAAUGACGGUCUUGCAAGAUUGGGUGUCUGGUGUGCAGGCACACCCGGCACAGUUUUAACAAGCAACUUAACCUCCUAGUGCACAGGUCCCUCCCCCGGUUCCUUAUAGGCUGAGUCCUAUAGGGUCACAGUCAUCCCGGACGUCACCUGUUGAGUGUUAGGUAGCAGCUUUAGGUGUUUUUUUUUAGGGUUGUCUUGCUGCAUUUUGUUGCAGCCCACAAUGCAUUGCAAUCCUAGUUAGUUCAGGGGCUCUUGAAGUAUUUGACUUAUGACCUAAGUAGCUGGGCAGGAUGAUAAGAACAGACAAAGUGAGCUAUUUUGCAGACUAGUAUCUAGGCUAAACUUCUUUGGUUCGGGUGAGGGCAGCUAAGUGGGGGAAAAGGGGACGAAGCGGGAGGCUGACAAGCAGGCAUUGGCUAUUGAAGCAGGGGCCUAGUAUCCUGUUUCUUCUGUAGUUUGCUGACCUAUGCCGAUUCAAGACACUUUGUCCCGGAAAUGGACCACUGUAUGCGUUAUUUUCUAUACUCCAUGAAUAUGAUUGGUUUGUAAGGUGUGUAUUGAUUUUAUUUAAGUGUAAUUGCUGUUUGCUUAGCCAAUUGGCAUAAUUUAUGCUAAGCAAACUACAAAUAUGGAUUUAUUUUAUUAGUCACAGCUACAGAAUUUAUUCCACUUGUGGAAUGAUGUUUUGUUUUUGUAGCAGAUUAGAAAAGUUUUGUUUGGUGCUUUGGCAGGAUUAAGCUAGGGUAUAAUCUUUUAUGAGAUUUUGGCAUAUUUUAAUAUUAUUUACAUAGACACUCUGCCCAUUUAUUAUAGACAAUAAAGGAACUAUUGGACUAACAGUAGUAAAUUUUUUCCUCCAAAAGGUAAUUAAUAAAAUGUCUCCAACAUCUCUAAAGAUCACACUAAGGCAACUCAUGGAGGGGUCUUCAAAGACCUUGCAAGAAGUACUAACUAUGGAGUAUCGGCUAAGUCAAGCUUGUAUGAGAGGUCAUGACUUUCAUGAAGGCGUUAGAGCUGGUAAGUGGCAAAUGGGAACUUACCAUUUUGGGGAAAUGGGAUUUGUGAGCAUAUGCUGUUAAUUAAAGAAGAUACAGAUUAUGCAUCCCAAAUCCUAAAAUCCAAAAUGUACCAAAAUCUGAAACUAUUUGAGCACCAACAUGACACUCAAAUGUUCAUUGGACCAUAAGUAUAAUGCAAAUAUUCCAAAAUCUG
rnacentral:lncRNA from 1 species